AUUUGGUGACAUAUUUAAUUUUUUAUUGCAAAUAUAUGAAAUAUUUAAAACUUUUGCGAAGUCAGGGGAAGAUAUGCAACACCAACGCAAGCUUCAGUAAUGAAGAAUUUUAUAAAACUUGUUUAAAAAAAUAUAGCUCUCAAAAACGCCUUCAUAUUGGGCGCCUCCUGUUCUAAGAAGUCAUUGAGAAACUCCAUAAAAGCUUCCUUUCCCUGGAACCGAGUGAAAUUCGCAAGGGUCUGCAGAGUUUUCGCGACCAACGUCAGGUUGCGCGCCGCACGCUCGUUCGGCGAAGCAGUCCCGCAAUGGAGGCGGAAAGCGUGGCGCAGAGGCUGCGAUAGCUCGCCAGGCCAACGUGACUGUGUCCCUUAGCGCCGCUUGCUGUCGUCUUAAGGCUGCGCUGCUGCCCGCCCUUUGAGGG